rnacentral:rRNA from 1 species
CUACACACGUCAUACAAUGGCCGGUACAGGAGGGUAGCCAACCCGCGAGGGGGAGCCAAUCCCACAAAGCCGGCCGUAGUCCGGAUCGCAGUCUGCAACUCGACUGCGUGAAGUCGGAAUCGCUAGUAAUCGCGGAUCAGCAUGUCGCGGUGAAUACGUUCCCGGGUCUU